UGCGUAGGCGGCUUUUUAAGUCGGAUGUGAAAUCCCUGAGCUUAACUUAGGAAUUGCAUUCGAUACUGGAAAGCUAGAGUAUGGGAGAGGAUGGUAGAAUUCCAGGUGUAGCGGUGAAAUGCGUAGAGAUCUGGAGGAAUACCGAUGGCGAAGGCAGCCAUCUGGCCUAAUACUGACGCUCAAAUGCGAAAGCGUGGGGAUCAAACAGGAUUAGAUACCCUUGUA
rnacentral:rRNA from 1 species